AUACGGAGGAUGCGAGCGUUAUCCGGAUUUAUUGGGUUUAAAGGGUGCGUAGGCUGUGCGUUAAGUCAGGGGUGAAAUGCCGUCGCUCAACGACGGAGCUGCCCUUGAUACUGGCGUGCUGGAGUACGGAUGCCGUUGGAGGAAUGAGUGGUGUAGCGGUGAAAUGCUUAGAUAUCACUCAGAACACCGAUUGCGAAGGCAUCUGACGAAUCCGUCACUGACGCUGAGGCACGAAAGCGUGGGGAUAGAACAGGAUUAGAUACCCUGGUAUUCCACGCCGUAAACGAUGAUGACUAACCGUCGGCGAUAGACAGCCGGCGGCCAAGCGAAAGCGAUAAGUCAUCCACCUGGGGAGUACGUCGGCAACGAUGAAACUCAAAGGAAUUGACGGGG
rnacentral:rRNA from 1 species